rnacentral:rRNA from 1 species
UACGUAGGGUGCGAGCGUUAAUCGGAAUUACUGGGCGUAAAGGGCGCGUAGGCGGCCUUCUAAGUCGAACGUGAAAUCCCCGGGCUCAACCCGGGAACUGCGUCCGAUACUGGAAGGCUUGAAUCCGGGAGAGGGAUGUGGAAUUCCAGGUGUAGCGGUGAAAUGCGUAGAUAUCUGGAGGAACACCGGUGGCGAAGGCGACAUCCUGGACCGGUAUUGACGCUGAGGCGCGAAAGCCAGGGGAGCAAGCGGG